AGCGAACGCUGGCGGCAGGCUUAACACAUGCAAGUCGAGCGGGCAUAGCAAUAUGUCAGCGGCAGACGGGUGAGUAACGCGUGGGAACGUACCUUUUGGUUCGGAACAACCGAGGGAAACUUCAGCUAAUACCGGAGAAGCCCUUACGGGGAAAGAUUUAUCGCCGAAAGAUCGGCCCGCGUCUGAUUAGCUAGUUGGUGAGGUAAUGGCUCACCAAGGCGACGAUCAGUAGCUGGUCUGAGAGGAUGAUCAGCCACAUUGGGACUGAGACACGGCCCAAACUCCUACGGGAGGCAGCAGUGUGGAAUAUUGGACAAUGGGCGCAAGCCUGAUCCAGCCAUGCCGCGUGAGUGAUGAAGGCCCUAGGGUUGUAAAGCUCUUUUGUGCGGGAAGAUAAUGACGGUACCGCAAGAAUAAGCCCCGGUUAACUUCGUGCCAGCAGCCGCCGUAA
rnacentral:rRNA from 1 species